GAUGAAGAACGCAGCGAAAUGCGAUACUUGGUGUGAAUUGCAGAAUCCCGUGAACCAUCGAGUCUUUGAACGCAAGUUGCGCCCGAAGCCAUCAGGUUGAGGGCACGUCUGCCUGGGCGUCACAUAUCGUUGCCCAAUACCUAUUGCAGUGCAAUAGGAAUUUCUAGGGCGAAUGAUGGCUUCCCGUGAGCGUUGUUGCCUCGCGGUUGGUUGAAAAUCGAGUCCUUGGUAGGGUGUGCCAUGGUAGAUGGUGGUCGAGUUAGAACGAUACCGAUCAUGUGCAUGCUCCCCAAAAUAUGGCCUCUAUGACCCACACGCGUCUUUUGACGCUCAUGACGAGACCUCAGGUCAGGCGGGGCUACCCGCUGAAUUUAAGCAUAUCAAUAAGCGGAGGA
rnacentral:misc_RNA from 1 species